rnacentral:lncRNA from 1 species
GGUACAGAGUCAGUGUGGAGGUUAUAUACAGGGGGUACCGGUACAGAGUCAGUGUGGAGGUUAUAUACAGGGGGUACCGGUACAGAGUCAGUGUGGAGGUUAUAUACAGGGGGUACCGGUACAGAGUCAGUGUGGAGGCUAUAUACAGGGGGUACAGGUACCGAGUCAGUGUGGAGGCUAUAUACAGGGGGUACCGGUACAGAGUCAGUGUGGAGGUUAUAUACAGGGGGUACAGGUACAGAGUCAGUGUGGAGGUUAUAUACAGGGGGUACCGGUACAGAGUCAGUGUGGAGGCUAUAUACAGGGGGUACCGGUACAGAGUCAGUGUGGAGGCUAUAUACAGGGGGUACCGGUACAGAGUCAAUGUGGAGGCUAUAUACAGGGGGGUACCGGUACAGAGUCAAUGUGGA